AUUGAACGCUGGCGGCAGGCCUAACACAUGCAAGUCGAGCGAGCGGCGGACGGGUGAGUAAUGUCUGGGAAACUGCCUGAUGGAGGGGGAUAACUACUGGAAACGGCAUCUAAUACCGUAUACCAUCAGAUGUGCCCAGACGGGAUUAGCUAGUCGGUGGGGUAACGGCUCACCUAGGCGACGAUCCCUAGCUGGUCUGAGAGGUUGACCAGCCACACGGGGACUGAGACACGGCCCAGACUCCUACGGGAGGCAGCAGUGGGGAAUCUUGGGCAAUGGGCGCAAGUCUGAUGCAGCCAUGCCGCGUGUGUGAAGAAGGCCUUCGGGUUGUAAAGCACUUUCAGCGGAGAAGCGUUACCCGCAGAGGAAGCACCGGCUAACUCCGUGCCAGCAGCCGCGGUAAUAC
rnacentral:rRNA from 1 species